rnacentral:misc_RNA from 1 species
AAGGAGCACCACGAAAAGCACUCCAAUUGGUGGGGUGCAAGCCGUGCGGAGUUCUCGUCUGUAGUGGGCGAGAGCUGGGUGCACAACAACAAGCAAGCCAGACACACUAUUGGGUCCUGAGACAACACUCGGGCGCUAGCGCGAAGUGUUGUCCCUCCAUCUUGGUGGUGGGGUGUGGUGUUUGAGAACUGGAUAGUGGUUGCGAGCAUCAACUGGAUGCGCUGCCGGCAACGGUGGCGUGUUCUUUUGUGCAAUUUUUAUUCUUUGGUUUUUGUG